UUAAAUGUGCAAUAUGGGCGCUGAUAGUUUUAAAUAAGUUUAGUAUAUCAGUAGCCUCAUGGGGAUACUUUCAGCGACAGCUCCCAAUGCAAUUGUAGUUUUAGAAUAUACAAAAUUUGGUUGCUGGUGAAAGAAUUUAAUUUCGAGUUGUCUCGUGUAGCAUCACAAUAAAUAAAUAAAUUGUACCAGUUCCACGAGGCACGGCGAAGGAAGUGACAAUGAAUUGUUUCUCUCGUAAAAACCUUGUUCUAAUCCACAUUUUUGAGUAACGUGCAGUGUUGGUAUGUUAGAUGAAGAAUUAGGCCAAAUCGUAUUAGUGCCGUUAUUGAAAACAAAUAAAACAAAAAAAAACAAAACACGCUAAGACAAAAAAAAAACAAAGGCCUAAUGUAACGUUGUUUGGCCUAAUUGUUGAGCAAACCUAUUAACCCGCUAGACCCUACGCAGUUCUUCGCGAUCGUAUUCAAUUUGAAACUUUACACUAUCCUUGGAUCCCUAGUUAUACUGACUGUUAUCAUUCCAGGUAAAGUAAAAUAAAUUGAGUUCACUGGUUUAUGCACAUGUAAUGACUAAUGGGACAAAUUAAUGUGCGAUUUCAGAAAAAAAUGCAAAACUAAAGCGCAGUUAUGGCCGUUUUCCACUUCAACUAUCGUAACAUAUCGUAGCAUUUUCUUUUGUGUCGAAGUCAUUAGUUCCACUCAGGCUAGUGCUCUGGAAACAAAAAAAUACGCUAUACUUCAGUAGGAUACGGUUGAGGUGGAAUACGGCUUUAUUCUGAUUUCUGUGUUUAUUUUUCUCGCCGCCCUUGCCGCCCGCGAGCGAAUAAAGCCUGCUACGCAAUAGCGUAUACCCAAUGCUCUCGACUACAGUGCCAGGCUAACGUGUUUACAGCUCGAACGGGAAACCCGAGGCCGCUUUUUCAUAUUUUUUGAUGUUCACAAACUAAACCAAAACCAAUCACCACCGGGUUAUUUUGACUGAACCUUUUCCGGGUAUGAACUUAUGAUAUAGCCAUAGGUCUAAAUAACCCGCUGGUGAUUGGUUUUGGCUUAGUUUGAAAAAUACGCAAAAGCGGUUUGCCUGUUCGAGCUGUAAUAUUCCUUCGAUCCUGAAUUUGCCUUUUCCAAAUGUUCCUCAAACGUGCGUAAAAAUAAUAGAACAUUCGAUCGUACUUUACGCCAAAUUUGAGCAUAGUAAACUAUUUCACAAUCUCAAAUGACAGAUUAGGAAGAUAAUGAUUCCUAAGUUUUCCCCCCAUAACGUAUGUGUGAAAAAUUAAACUUAAUAAUAAUAAUCAUUUAUUUAAUCACGAUAUUAAAUACAGCACAGCUGAAGUGGUCCUCAUGCAAUUUUCUUGCUAAAGCGAAUGUUCCUUAGGAUCCCGAGAUUCCGCUCUUUCCUUGGUCUGGACAGGAUCUCCAACCCACCGCCUUUGCUAAAUAUGUAAUAUUGACAUAACCUGUUGCAUCAAAUAAAUUAUGUAUUAUAUGCGUCAUGCAUGAACUGCAUGUUGUGGUUAUUUGCAAUUUAUACAAGGUUUCCUCAACAUUUCCACUCGAUUUUAGGCGGCUUUUAAUUUCUUUCUAAUCGAGUGCUAUUAGGUUUCUAAUUGAGUGUCAUUAAUUUCAUCACUAAUUGAGAAGCAUUAGCCAUUAAAGAUACAUAAUUGUCAGGUUAUCUGUUGGAUCAUGCAAGAGCAUCUUUGAGGC